AACGUAGGAGGCGAGCGUUAUCCGGAGUUACUGGGCGUAAAGAGCGUGUAGGCGGGUAUGCAAGUUUGGCGUGAAAGCUCCCGGCUAAACUGGGAGACUGCGUUGAAGACUGCGUAUCUAGAGGCAAGUAGAGGGACGUGGAAUUCCGGGUGUAGUGGUGAAAUGCGUGGAGAUCCGGAGGAACACCAGUGGCGAAGGCGACUCUUUGGCCUGUAACUGACGCUGAGGCGCGAAAGCGUGGGGAGCAAACAGG
rnacentral:rRNA from 1 species